GCUCUGUCUGUUUGCCUUUUUUUAUGCUUCUCCGUUACAUAUGUGUUUGUUUUUUAUAGUGAUUGAUAUCAUAACACAAUGUUCACUGCUGUUCCUUCAUUUUUGACAUGUUUGCCUAGUAUGUCUGUUUGUUUUGUUUAUACAUUCUAAAGUCAUAAAUCCAUUAUGCUUAUUAUAAUAUGGUGUGUUAAUACACUUGUUUACAUUCGUUCUCCCUUUUAGACCAUUGCUAUAGCACUUCGCUUUCUUAUCAUGCUGUUUU
rnacentral:lncRNA from 1 species